rnacentral:rRNA from 1 species
UACGGGGGGGGCAAGCGUUGUUCGGAAUAACUGGGCGUAAAGGGCUCGUAGGCGGCCAACUAAGUCCGACGUGAAAUCCCCAGGCUUAACCUGGGAACUGCGUCGGAUACUGGAUGGCUUGAAUUCGGGAGAGGGAUGCAGAAUUCCAGGUGUAGCGGUGAAAUGCGUAGAUAUCGGGAGGAACACCAGUGGCGAAGGCGACUACCUGGCCUGUUCUUGACGCUGAGGCGCGAAAGCUAGGGGAGCAAACGGG